AACUUUUGGCAAUGGAUCUCUUGGCUCUUGCAUCGAUGAAGAACGCAGCGAAAUGCGAUAAGUAAUGUGAAUUGCAGAAUUCAGUGAAUCAUCGGAUCUUUGAACGCAUCUUGCGCUCCUGGGUAUUCCGAGGAGCAUGCCUGUUUGAUUGUCAUUUGACUUCUCUCAACCACAUCGAUCAUGAAUGUGGCGUGGAUGUGGGGGUUGCAGGCUUCUUCUACAAUGAGGUUCCGGCUCCCCUGAAAUGCAUUAGUGGUGUCUGAGCUGCUAUUUGGUGUGAUAAUUUAUCUAUGCCUUUGGUAAUGCUGAUCAGCACCGCUUAUAACAAAACCGUAAUUUGACAAAUUUGACCUCAAAUCAGGUAGGACUACCCGCUGAACUUAAGCAUAUCAAUAAGCGGAGGCU
rnacentral:misc_RNA from 1 species